rnacentral:rRNA from 1 species
AUUGAACGCUGGCGGCAUGCCUUACACAUGCAAGUCGAACGGCAGCACGGAGCUUGCUCUGGUGGCGAGUGGCGAACGGGUGAGUAAUAUAUCGGAACGUACCCAGGAGUGGGGGAUAACGUAGCGAAAGUUACGCUAAUACCGCAUACGUCCUAAGGGAGAAAGUGGGGGAUCGCAAGACCUCAUGCUCAUGGAGCGGCCGAUAUCUGAUUAGCUAGUUGGUAGGGUAAAGCCUACCAAGGCAUCGAUCAGUAGCUGGUCUGAGAGGACGACCAGCCACACUGGAACUGAGACACGGUCCAGACUCCUACGGGAGGCAGCAGUGGGGAAUUUUGGACAAUGGGCGCAAGCCUGAUCCAGCAAUGCCGCGUGAGUGAAGAAGGCC